rnacentral:rRNA from 1 species
GAUGAACGCUGGCGGCGUGCCUAACACAUGCAAGUCGAACGAAGAUUGACGGAUGAUUUCUUCGGAAUGAAACCAGAUAUGACUUAGUGGCGGACGGGAGAGUAACACGUGAGCAACCUGCCUUUCAGAGGGGGAUAACGGCUGGAAACGGUCGCUUAUACCGCAUGAUGUGUUCGGAUGGCAUCAUCUGAACAUCAAAGAUUUAUCGCUGAAAGCUGGGCUCGCGUCUGAUUAGAUAGUUGGUGGGGUAACGGCCUACCAAGUCUACGAUCAGUAGCCGGACUGAGAGGUUGAACGGCCACAUUGGGACUGAGAUACGGCCCAGACUCCUACGGGAGGCAGCAGUGGGGAAUAGUGCACAAUGGGGGAAACCCUGAUGCAGCAACGCCGCGUGAAGGAUGACGGUUUUCGGAUUGUAAACUUCUUUUCUUAGUGACGAAGACAGUGACGGUAGCUAAGGAAUAAGCAUCGGCUAACUACGUG